GAUGAACGCUAGCGGCAGGCUUAACACAUGCAAGUCGAGGGGCAGCAUGACGGAACUUUCGGGUUUUGUUGAUGGCGACCGGCGCAAGGGUGCGUAACGCGUGAGCAACUUGCCCGUUUCUGGGGAAUAACCGGUGGAAACGCCGACGUUAAUACCCCCAUAGUAUAACGAAGAGGCAUCUUUUUGUAUUAAGAACUUCGGAAACGGAUAGGCUCGCGUGACAUUAGCUAGAUGGCGGGGUAACGGCCCACCAUGGCGACGAUGUCUAGGGGUUCUGAGAGGAAGGUCCCCCACACUGGAACUGAGACACGGUCCAGACUCCUACGGGAGGCAGCAGUGAGGAAUAUUGGUCAAUGGUCUGACGACUGAACCAGCCAUGCCGCGUGAAGGUGACGGCCCUAUGGGUCUUAAACUUCUUUUGUAAGGGAGCAAUAAGUCUCACGUGUGGGAUGAUGAGAGUACCUUACGAAUAAGCAUCGGCUAACUCCGUG
rnacentral:rRNA from 1 species